rnacentral:rRNA from 1 species
GACGGAAGGUGCAAGCGUCGCUCGGAAUCACUGGGCGUAAAGGGUGCGUAGGCGGGUCUUUAAGUCAGGGGUGAAAUCCUGGAGCUCAACUCCAGAACUGCCUUUGAUACUGAAGAUCUUGAGUUCGGGAGAGGUGAGUGGAACUGCGAGUGUAGAGGUGAAAUUCGUAGAUAUUCGCAAGAACACCAGUGGCGAAGGCGGCUCACUGGCCCGAUACUGACGCUGAGGCACGAAAGCGUGGGGAGCAAACAGG